GUUGAUUGUAUAGAUAUAUUUAUACUACAUCAUUGUAGUUAGUGUAAGCAGAGUAUCUUCAAUAUUUCAAUGUAUUCCUGUCUAGAUUAAUUUUGAACAUUAUACAUUCAGAACAAAUAAUACAUAAAUACAUAAUGCAUAAAUACUUUCAAAUAGUAGCAAUUACAGUGAUAUACGUCAAUAUAAAUCUAGACCGCAGGACACUAAACUGUUUCAUUAUUAUCUGGUCGUAUUACAAGGAUCUCUACCGCAGAGGAUAACUUAGGACGAACUAGAGUCAGUGAGCAAAAACUGCCAAUUUGUCUCACUGCAUCCAAGAAAGGAUGCAGAGAGAUUCAGUCAAAUAAAAAAGCAGCAUCUAUUUAUAAACAAAGUAAUUCAUUGAAGAAAAUAAAAUUAAGCUUGUUUACUGAUGUAGUAGUGGAAAAAAAGAAUAUCGUUUAAUUAAAAAAAUUCUAACAAUAAGACAGGAUUUUAAAAAAAUCUAUUGUAAAAAAACCCAUUUAAUCCUUUUUAUACAGUUCAUCGAUUGUCGCCGCAUCUAUUUCCUUUCAGUCUAAAUAGAUUCAGUUGACGACCAAGUGUCGGUUGGUGUGACUAUCGUUGGGAUUAAUACUCAUAAAGACAUACAGAAUUGAGGUGUUAGUUUGAUUGGUAUUUUUGGCAAAACACAACUUUAGUGUUAGGUCCAAUAUUUUGUACAAAAAGUGAUACAAAUCAGUAUAGAUGUACAUGAGUUAUAGUAGCUUUAUACCAUUCUAAUUGAUAGUAUAGGUCCUAAAAGAUUUACAAGCGUGAAAAUUUAAAAUAAAAAUUGUCUUUUUAUAUUGUAAAAUUUUUGUGGUUUGAUAUUCUUUUUGUAAUAAAUCCAUAUAGUAAAAUAAUUGAUUUUGGUAUUUAUCCUUAUGGAUAUUUUGAUUUUUCAUGGAUUUAUUGUGGCCAUUGAUACCCCACUAAAAACAUUGACAUUAUCAACACUUUAAGAAUAAAGAGCUGAAAAGACAGGUGUUACAAUUUCGUACAAAUUAUUUUUGAUGUUUAUAAGUUUAUGGCGAUACAUAAUUUGUAUAUUAACAUGUUCAUUUCAUGCUCUGAAAAUCUUCUUUAUCUGCAUCAAUGCGAUCAUUUCAGAUCAAAUGACCGGACUGUUCAGAUCAAAUGACCGGACUGUUCAG